rnacentral:lncRNA from 1 species
GGCCUCUGUGCUGUGGAGGCUCUGGGUGGGCACUGCUGCCCCUGUUUUGGGGGAGAAAGUGGCAUUUUUUUGCUCAGUGAGCCUGUUCACUGGUAAUAUAGCUCCUCACGGUGGGGGGGCACCAAGGCCUCUCUCCUCCCUGCCACAGGCCUAGUGGGGCCUGUGGAGCCCAUCAGGGCCAUGGGCCUAAUGACCCUUGGGAGCCAAAUGAGCUCUAAUUAGCCCCUGUUAGGCUCCACAGUGCUGGGCGCUGUCACAACUGUGCCCCUCUCUCACCACGAUUAAAACAAAGCCCGUUUGCAUGCCAAGCUGCCGGCUGCAGGCACGGUGUCACUGCAGCACAUGGAGAUGUGCCCGAGCUGGAAGGUCGGGUCUGUUUUACGGCUCCAAACCCACCCGGACCCGCUGAUUUAUGAGAUCCGUCUGCAGCAGGCUGCAUGCGGCUGCUGCCUUGCUGAACUGGCAGCUGCAGGGUGGAUGAGCUCCCAGGCCUCAGCAACAGGUUUCCAAGGCGGAUCAGGGGAAACUGAGGCAAAGGAGUUUAAGGAGAAGACCUUCUCAGCCCAUGACUGUGGCACAAUUGCGGCGGCCGUGAGCAACACCAGCUUCAGUGAGGAGCCGUGCAUGCGAGGCAGAGGCGGCAGAGGAGGAGGUGAGUUUGACUCACUGGCUUGCAACCUCAUAUCGCAGUGCUCUGGCAAGGGAAGAGGGAGCGAGGCCAAAGCUGGAGCUGCGUUUUGCAGCCAACACAGGGCAAACAGAAAGGCCUGGUUCUGGCCAGGGCUGCGAUGCUCAAGCAUGCCCAGCCCUGUGUAGAAACGGCAGCCUUGGGAUACUUUGGGCUGUGUCAGAGACUCCUUGGAUGGAAUUUGUAGUUGUAGAGGAC